UAUUUGUGAUUCGCGAUUAUAAGAUAAUAACGUUUGAUAUAUUUAAAAAUAUUUUUCUAUUCUUAUAAUGUAAAUUAUAUUCACACACACACACACACACACAACACACAUCAAUCGUAUAACCUUAAUAUAAUAAAAUUUUUUUAUAGAAUUAUUCUCGUAUAUAUGAAUAUAUAAUUUUUAGAAAUAUAUUAGAAAAUUGUGUGAGAGAUUUAAAGAAUAAAUUUAUCUAUUCUUUAUGUAGAUUAAAUAUUAGAUUCAUUUAAGUUGCUAUAUUAGUUUAAUAGUAUGAUGUAAAAAGAAAAAGAAAAAGAAAAAAAAAAUUAAUUAAAAUUGAAACGACGUUUUCCAUCAAAUCGAAAACCAUAAGCGGCACUGUUAGGUGCAUCAACUAAAGCAGGAUUUCUGUAAAGAUGAAAAGUUCCAUGUAGAUGUGCUGGUCUCGCAGCAUUUUGUUCUUCAGCUUCUUUUCCCUUUAAAUAAAAUGCUUCAAAUUGACCGCCAGGUAAUAAGAUAUUUUUCAAAGAUUUAUCGUCUGGAUCAUAGGCAAGUGCUUGGAUCAUCAGACAACUGAAAAACCAAAUGAUCUAUCAGAUUGUUAAUGUCUUUUUACAAAAUACUUACGUACGUUUUAUAUUUGUAACGAUGAGUUUACGAUCGAACUGCCAUAGUAAAAGUGAAAGUCGUGUCCUCGAUUAUUGUAUCCGGAUAACAAUGCCGGAACAUGUUUCUAUGG